rnacentral:rRNA from 1 species
AGUGAACGCUGGCGGUAGGCCUAACACAUGCAAGUCGAACGGCAGCACAGGAGAGCUUGCUCUCUAGGUGGCGAGUGGCGGACGGGUGAGGAAUACAUCGGAAUCUGCCCAGUCGUGGGGGAUAACGUAGGGAAACUUACGCUAAUACCGCGUACGACCUUCGGGUGAAAGAGGGGGAUCGCAAGACCUCUCGCGAUUGGAUGAGCCGAUGUCGGAUUAGCUAGUUAGCGGGGUAAUGGCCCACCAAGGCGACGAUCCGUAGCUGGUCUGAGAGGAUGAUCAGCCACACUGGAACUGAGACACGGUCCAGACUCCUACGGGAGGCAGCAGUGGGGAAUAUUGGACAAUGGGCGCAAGCCUGAUCCAGCCAUACCGCGUGGGUGAAGAAGGCCUUCGGGUUGUAAAGCCCUUUUGUUGGGAAAGAAAUCUUUCAGGCUAAUACCCUGGGAGGAUGACGGUACCCAAAGAAUAAGCACCGGCUAACUUCGUG